UGGGGAAUAUUGCACAAUGGGCGCAAGCCUGAUGCAGCCAUGCCGCGUGUAUGAAGAAGGUCUUCGGGUUGUAAAGUACUUUCAGUCGGGAGGAAGGUGGUAAGGUUAAUAACCUUAUCAAUUGACGUUACCGACAGAAGAAGCACCGGCUAACUCCGUGCCAGCAGCCGCGGUAAUACGGAGGGUGCAAGCGUUAAUCGGAAUUACUGGGGGUAAAGCGCACGCAGGCGGUUGAUUGAGUCAGAUGUGAAAUCCCCGGGCUUAACCCGGGAGUUGCAUCUGAUACUGGUCAGCUAGAGUCUUGUAGAGGGGGGUAGAAUUCCAUGUGUAGCGGUGAAAUGCGUAGAGAUGUGGAGGAAUACCGGUGGCGAAGGCGGCCCCCUGGACAAAGACUGACGCUCAGGUGCGAAAGCGUGGGGAGCAAACAGG
rnacentral:rRNA from 1 species